rnacentral:rRNA from 1 species
AACGAACGCUGGCGGCAUGCCUAACACAUGCAAGUCGAACGAGACCUUCGGGUCUAGUGGCGCACGGGUGCGUAACGCGUGGGAAUCUGCCCUCUUGUUCGGAACAACAGUUGGAAACGACUGCUAAUACCGGAUAAUGACUUCGGUCCAAAGAUUUAUCGCCGGAGGAUGAGCCCGCGUAGGAUUAGCUUGUUGGUGAGGUAAAAGCUCACCAAGGCGACGAUCCUUAGCUGGUCUGAGAGGAUGAUCAGCCACACUGGGACUGAGACACGGCCCAGACUCCUACGGGAGGCAGCAGUGGGGAAUAUUGGACAAUGGGCGAAAGCCUGAUCCAGCAAUGCCGCGUGAGUGAUGAAGGCCUUAGGGUUGUAAAGCUCUUUUACCCGGGAUGAUAAUGACAGUACCGGGAGAAUAAGCCCCGGCUAACUCUGUGCCAGCCGCCGCAGUAAAAC